GACGAACGCUGGCGGCGUGCUUAACACAUGCAAGUCGAACGGAAAGGCCCUGCUUUUGUGGGGUGCUCGAGUGGCGAACGGGUGAGUAACACGUGAGUAACCUGCCCUUGACUUUGGGAUAACUUCAGGAAACUGGGGCUAAUACCGGAUAGGAGCUCCUGCUGCAUGGUGGGGGUUGGAAAGUUUCGGCGGUUGGGGAUGGACUCGCGGCUUAUCAGCUUGUUGGUGGGGUAGUGGCUUACCCAGGCUUUGACGGGUAGCCGGCCUGAGAGGGUGACCGGCCACAUUGGGACUGAGCUACGGCCCAGACUCCUACGGGAGGCAGCAGUGGGGAAUAUUGCACAAUGGGCGGAAGCCUGAUGCAGCAACGCCGCGUGCGGGAUGACGGCCUUCGGGUUGUAAACCGCUUUCGCCUGUGACGAAGCGUGAGUGACGGUAAUGGGUAAAGAAGCACCGGCUAACUACGUG
rnacentral:rRNA from 1 species